GACGAACGCUGGCGGCGUGCUUAACACAUGCAAGUCGAACGAUGAACUUGGAGCUUGCUCUGGGGGAUUAGUGGCGAACGGGUGAGUAACACGUGAGUAACCUGCCCUGGACUCUGGGAUAACUUCGAGAAAUCGGAGCUAAUACCGGAUAGGACCUUGCACCGCAUGGUGUGGGGUGGAAAGUUUUUCGGUUUGGGAUGGACUCGCGGCCUAUCAGCUUGUUGGUGCGGUAAUGGCUCACCAAGGCGUCGACGGGUAGCCGGCCUGAGAGGGUGACCGGCCACACUGGGACUGAGACACGGCCCAGACUCCUACGGGAGGCAGCAGUGGGGAAUAUUGCACAAUGGGCGCAAGCCUGAUGCAGCAACGCCGCGUGCGGGAUGACGGCCUUCGGGUUGUAAACCGCUUUUAGUAGGGAAGAAGCCUUCGGGCGACGGUACCUGCAGAAAAAGGACCGGCUAACUACGUGCCAGCAGCCGCCGUAACAC
rnacentral:rRNA from 1 species